UGAGCAAUCUGCCCUUCUCAUCGGAAUAAGCGUUGGAAACGACGUCUAAUGCCGAAUACGACCUCCUUUCGCAUGAUCGGAGGUGGAAAGCUCCGGCGGAGAAGGAUGAGCUCGCGGCCUAUCAGCUAGUUGGUGUGGGUAACGCCCACCAAGGCGACGACGGGUAGCCGGCCUGAGAGGGUGACCGGCCACACUGGGACUGAGACACGGCCCAGACCUCCGUACGGGAGG
rnacentral:rRNA from 1 species